rnacentral:rRNA from 1 species
GACGAACGCUGGCGGCGUGCUUAACACAUGCAAGUCGAACGGAAAGGCCCCUUUGGGGGUACUCGAGUGGCGAACGGGUGAGUAACACGUGAGCAACCUGCCCUUGACUUCGGGAUAACUUCAGGAAACUGGGGCUAAUACCGGAUAGGAAUCCUUGCUGCAUGGUGGGGGUUGGAAAGCUUCGGCGGUUUUGGAUGGACUCGCGGCUUAUCAGCUUGUUGGUGGGGUAGUGGCUUACCAAGGCUUUGACGGGUAGCCGGCCUGAGAGGGCGACCGGCCACAUUGGGACUGAGAUACGGCCCAGACUCCUACGGGAGGCAGCAGUGGGGAAUAUUGCACAAUGGGCGGAAGCCUGAUGCAGCAACGCCGCGGGCGGGAUGACGGCCUUCGGGUUGUAAACCGCUUUCAGCAGGGGCGAAGCUUGUGGUGACGGUACCUGCAGAAGAAGCACCGGCUAACUACGUG